UUUCCGCUUCCCGCCUCUAACAAGAUGGCGAAGGCCCUGUGCUGAGGGGGCGGAGUGUGGCUGCCGGAAACCCGGCCGCUACCUUCGGGGAAGCUUCGGGCGAAGGCCCGGGAGCAGCGGACUGAGUCUGGUGCGAUGCUGUUCCCGGGAAGCGCAGUCAGCUACCGCUGAGGAAGGUGGAGCGAGGAGUUGCCUUUCCAGCGCCCCCUAUGUACGCCUCCCUGAGCUCGGGGCCGGUCGCCGCGUUGCCCGCCUCCGUACCACCCGUGACUCUCGGGGCCCCGAGCUCCGGCGGCGGCCGGAGUCGAGUCCCGGGGGAAGGGAGGCGCCCGGGUGGCACCCGAGCUUGCGGCCG
rnacentral:lncRNA from 1 species